rnacentral:rRNA from 1 species
UACGUAGGGGGCAAGCGUUGUCCGGAAUCAUUGGGCGUAAAGCGCGUGUAGGCGGCCCGAUAAGUCCGCUGUGAAAGUCCAGGGCUCAACCCUGGGAUGCCGGUGGAUACUGUCGGGCUCGAGUCCGGAAGAGGCGAGUGGAAUUCCUGGUGUAGCGGUGAAAUGCGUAGAUAUCUGGAGGAACACCGGUGGCGAAGGCGGCAUCCUGGACCAACACUGACGCUGAGGAGCGAAAGCCAGGGGAGCAAACGGG